UCCGUAGGGGGCAAGCGUUGUCCGGAAUCAUUGGGCGUAAAGCGCGUGUAGGCGGCUCGGUAAGUCUGCUGUGAAAGUCCAGGGCUCAACCCUGGGAUGCCGGUGGAUACUGUCGAGCUCGAGUCCGGAAGAGGCGAGUGGAAUUCCUGGUGUAGCGGUGAAAUGCGCAGAUAUCAGGAGGAACACCAAUGGCGAAGGCAGCUCGCUGGGACGUGACUGACGCUGAGACGCGAAAGCGUGGGGAGCAAACAGG
rnacentral:rRNA from 1 species